rnacentral:lncRNA from 7 species
UUUUGUUUUGAAGGCUAAGAUGUGCAAAUUGUUGGCAAAUGCCUGCUAUAGCUGUACUACUGGGAGGCCUCUUUCAAUUGUACUGCCUAAAUAGCUGCUGCAUCACAACUCUUACAUAUUACAAUGGAUAUUGGCCGUGAAGUUUGAAAUGAAUGUCUGAAUUUGGUGCACAAGUGAUGUCUACUAUGGAAAGGAGAAAGAGCAAGGAAAUCAGCAGGGAAACCAGUGGAAGUCAUGGUUUGACAACAUCAAAGAACAGCUUGGACCCUAUCCUUACAGAGAGAAAAAGGUUGCCAGGAUCCCAUGAGUUGGCUGACUAAUGAGUGAAAUGCUGCCAAUGCUCCGAUUCAGGACGGCUUGGGGUGACCCACUGAGUGAUGGCCAUUGCUGGUGGAAGAAGUUAACAGGAAAAAAAAAAAAAGCAGGGAGAUAAAGAAAAAUAACCAAGCAAAUACAGGAAUUGGGAACUCAUAGGAGCACAGAGGGAGUUGCCUCUUGGAUCAGAAACGUCUGUGUUAGUAGUAAGGUCAACAGUGACUUCUGAGAAGCAUUUGCAACAUUCGUUACCGCUUCCGUCCUCUGACAUAGACACAUCAGCGUGUGGUGUUAUUUGUCUUGUCCACACGGAUCAGAAUAAUGGACAACGUGGCAGGGAAAGGCAGAAAAUACAUCAUUUAAGAAACAGGACAGCCAGAUGUACAUGAACACUGGGAUUUCUCAUAAUGCACAUGGGUCAGCUCCUUCCAGUUAUUAUAAACAGCCCUGUGCUCCUUUAUGAAGACCAGAUCCUCAGUGAGGUCUGAGUGACUUGAUUUGCUCAUCUGUGCAAGAGAAAGUGGUUAGAGCAAGCCAUGGUGCUGCAGGGCAAGGGACAGGCAACUGCCUUUGGGUAAGAAGGGUUGAUGAUUGAUGGCAAAAUCAUCUAGUCCUAUUGGUCUCUUCCAACCUUUAUGAUUCUAAGAAGGAGCUUUGUAACAUACUGGGUGAAGGACUGCUUAGGCUGUGCAGAAAAUGCUUCCUAGUUCUCCUAAAGUGGAAAAAUCCACUAAAUCAGCCUAAAUGAAUUGGAUGAAAGCUACUGCAGCCUUAAGGUUUGCUGAAGUGGGAUGUUAAGGUGAGCAGGGUGACACCUAGUUUGCUGUAAGUCCUUCCUCAAUCCACCAAUAUGCCUGUCCCUGCACCUCCUGGAUUUCAGCUCAUGCUGAAGAGCACUGCUGGACUUGGAUUCCCAUGGAGGGAACCCCAGUGCAGCACUGAAGUCAACAUUUAAGUGAGAAGAACAAUUCUACUGGUGAGUCUCUGACCACAGACAUGCAUGCUGCUGGCUCAUGGGUCUUGUUUUGCCUAGAUCACGGUAUGACCAAUGCGAUAGGGUGCAGAUCUGCUCACAGCCUCCUCAUAUUUUAGAAAAAUCAUUUUCCUGUGUUUCCAUACUCCUGAUUUUUUUUUUGCCUUUCUGUUUAAAUUCUCAGCUCCUCAGAGAGGUUUGUACAGCAUCUAUUGCAACAGGAUCACGAUCUUUUCUGAGGCCUCUGAACACCGUGGUAAUAUAAAUAAUAAGAAAGCAUUUAUCAAAGCAUACAAAGGAAACUUUGUGCUUUGAUUUAAAGCAUGUAAAAUGAGUCUUGGAAAAUAUUCCUCCAAAGGAGUAGAGGAUUAAUUAACACUUGCCCAGACCACUGCAAUCACAAGCAGUGCUGGGAGCCCUGUGCACAGCUGUGUUACCUGCAGGAGCAUGGGCAGGCAAUGGAUCCUGGAGGACAUCUCCUUGCUUUAACUGGGUUUGCUUUUCUGUGCCAAGAACACCCAAUGGAAACCAAGGGGGCACACAUGAAACUAUGUCUUAGUUAAAGAAAUUAGGAGUAGCUCAACAUCCUUGAGUAUUAGCAUACCUAUUGCUAAGUUUUGAUAUGUUGCUGCAUAUUUGAUUGCCAAACCUUUUUGAAAUUUCAACCCAGAAAUUCCCUCCAGGAUGGCAUGUGAGUGACAUGGGGACACUGCACAGCUGCAGAGAGCUAUGUUCCCAUGUGCUAUCUGUUCAGAGGUCAUCAGUCUUCCAUGCUGAAAGACUCAAGAGUUGGAGUUUAUCAUCUCAGCUGGUUCGAAUUGCAGAGCAUGAGAAGGAGGGAUGGUUUUCCAGCUUUUAAGCCAGGAUAAUUUGUUUGCUUUUUUUAAUUAUAAAAAUGGUUUAAAUCCAUCAAGUCACUCUUUGUAGUUAUAGAGGUGCAAUAAAUCCUAAUCUGUUUGGAC